AGCAGUCGCCACGGUAAUACAGAGGAUGCAAGCGUUACCCGGAUUUACUGGGCGUAAAGGGCGUGUAGGCGGCCUGGGGCGUCCCAUGUGAAAGGCCACGGCUCAACCGUGGAGGAGCGUGGGAUACGCUCAGGCUAGAGGGUGGGAGAGGGUGGUGGAAUUCCCGGAGUAGCGGUGAAAUGCGCAGAUACCGGGAGGAACGCCGAUGGCGAAGGCAGCCACCUGGUCCACUUCUGACGCUGAGGCGCGAAAGCGUGGGGAGCAAACCGGAUUAGAUACCCGGGUAGUCCCUGUCUCUUAUAC
rnacentral:rRNA from 1 species